CACCAGGAAAUGGAUCAUAAGAGGGCCAGUGCGUGGCAAGCAUGGGAGAAGUGGCCAGAGGGUCAAGGCAUCUUCCAAACCAAGUUUUACAGAGGAUAUUGGGAUCCAUAAAUUCCAUUGUCUGCAGUACUCUUUAUCAAACCACGUGGAAAAAGAAAAGGAGUACAAGCAUGUUAGAAAAUAGAUUAUGUAUGUGUUUUGAGAACACUUUAGAGAUUGCACACAAUGUACCCAUCGUACAUCACUAUAUAAAUAAUAAUGUCAACCAAUUGUUUUCUGGUCAUAGACCUUUUUUUUCAGCACCAUGUUACAGUCUUUGUAACAGGCAGAUCCUCUUCCUGAUACAUCAUCUUUGCAGACUCCUCUUAAACUUCCUAUCCAAUCAAAUGAUUCUCAAAGAAUCAUAUAUGCAGUGAGCGCCAUGCUCAUCCUAUACAAUGAUUCUUACAGAGAAGCAUUGAAUCCAGU